CGCAUUCAUAAGUCCCGCCCACUGGUCUCGCCGGCGCUGCUUUCAGCGUGAGUAGAUGAGAGCGAGUCAGAGCAGAUCAGCACAGACAAGACAGUUUCUUCAGAAAAUCCAUUGAUAUAACUGGAGAUGUGAAUGAGUGCACUGAAAGUGGAGCUUUUGAAGUCGACGCGUCAGCCUGAAGUGUUGUCGCCGGAGACAGAGAAGAGAGAGAGACGGAGCGGAUCCCAGAGUGUUGAAGCACUACCGAAAGGAAAAGGACAGUGAUUCCCAAACCACAGAGAAAUUAAUUACUGUUGAUGAGUAUCAAGCACAACCUCGACAGAGACUCAGAAGAGGCUGAAAAAAUGGAGGAAAACGAAAAAUUGAGAAAUGAUGACAAAAAAAGCUACCAAAUCUGUUAAAUGAAGUGAAGAUGGCCCUGAAGUCUCAGUGUUCGUCAGCAUCAGUCACAUAACUUGGAAGAUGGGACAGGAUUUGCCACAGAGUAAUUACAGAGCCCUUCCAACAGAACAGGAGCAACGUUGCAGAAAGUGUCCUCAUGUGGUGACCGCCAGCAUUGGUACAGCAAUUAAUGCCAAACUUACUGAAAUUAGAGGGAAGAAUACAAAAACAUCUGAAAACCUUAAUGGUCUUUGAUGAUUGAUAGCCGUGACAGUGUGUUCAAGGUAUUUUGUUGUUGUUGUUGGAGUGUGUUUGUGUGUGUGUGUUUUGCCUUCGCAAAGUUCAGUUUGAUAUCAAGUUGUAAUUUUAAAUUACUCUUAUGGAGUAUAAUUUGAUUGUCUUGUUGAUUGUGUUGAAAUAAAAGUAUUUCUAAUGUAAAUUUGUGCUAGUAAUUGACUGAAAUCAUAUAUGAUUUGUAUAUGCAGAGAUAUUGUAAUAUUUACUGAAAUCAUAAAAGAUAAUUAUAUGUAGAGAUAUGAGGAAUUAGGUGGAAACAUAUAAAGUUUGAAGAACAGACACACAAUUUACCUAUUAAAAACAUAUAUAAUCUGUAUAUAAUUCAUAUGAGCAAAUAAUGCAAAAUUUAAAUGAAUCCUAUAUGACUUGCAUAUGAUUCAAUCAAGAAUUUUAAAUGAUUUGUAUAGGAAAUUUACUGAUAUUCAUACACAUUUUCUACUAAAAUCAUAUACUAUUACAUACUGUUGUCAUGUAAAACUCAUAUAAGAAUUUUGCAGUAUUCAUAUAUGACCUAAAAAUCCCAUAUAAGUUUUAUGUGUGCUUUUUAGUAUGAAAGUGGCCAUAAUCGGUCUGAUUUUGUAUAUGACAUGUAUUGGACUUAUAUGAAACACAUAAGGAAAUUCUGGCUGAUUUGAGUAAAGAAUAUAUAUGGUUGCUGUAUAUGAAACAUACAGGUUUUUUUUCAUAUGAGAUGUACACCGACACCUUCUCAUAUGGGAUAGCCUAAUAAUGAGCCGAAAUAUUUGCACUCUCUGUCCAAUGACAGAGAGUGCAAAUCGGGUUGUCAGCCUGUUAAUAUUAUUGUUGUUGUCAUUGUUAUUGUUGUUUUACUUUAUAACUAUAAUGUUUACUUAAAACCUAACAACAGUAUAUCAUAAAAUAACUAAUGAAUGCUUUAUUCGUAAACUUUUUUUUCUGUUUUGGUAAAGUGCCUCUACUGUUCCAUUACAUUGUUAUCAUGAAGUGUUGUUUUGGUGAUUGUAGUUUACUGAGCUUUUGCCUGCAAAACAAUACGGAAUAGAACGGAAUUGUGUAUGUUAUGUUAAAAGAGAUGAAUAAAAUGGUCU